rnacentral:rRNA from 1 species
CAGUCGCCACGGUAAUACAGAGGUCUCAAGCGUUGUUCGGAUUCAUUGGGCGUAAAGGGUGCGUAGGUGGCGGUGUAAGUCUAGCGUGAAAUCUCGGGGCUCAACCUCGAAAUUGCGUCGGAUACUGCAUUGCUAGAGGAUUGUAGAGGAGAGUGGAAUUCAUGGUGUAGCAGUGAAAUGCGUGGAUAUCAUGAGGAAGACCAGUUGCGAAGGCGACUCUCUGGGCAAUUCCUGACACUGAGGCACGAAGGCUAGGGGAGCAAACGGGAUUAGAUACCUCAGUAGUCCCUGUCUCUUAUAC